GCGGUGGAUGAUGUGGUUUAAUUCGAUGCAACGCGAAAACCUUACCACCUUUGACAUGUACGGAAUCCUUUAGAGAUAGAGGAGUGCUCGAAAGAGAACCGUAACACAGGUGCUGCAUGGCUGUCGUCAGCUCGUGUCGUGAGAUGUUGGGUUAAGUCCCGCAACGAGCGCAACCCUUGUCAUUAGUUGCUACAUUCAGUUGGGGCACUCUAAUGAGACUGCCGGUGACAAACCGGAGGAAGGUGGGGAUGACGUCAAGUCCUCAUGGCCCUUAUAGGUGGGGCUACACACGUCAUACAAUGGAUGGUACAAAGGGUCGCCAACCCGCGAGGGGGAGCCAAUCCCAUAAAGCCAUUCGUAGUCCGGAUCGCAGUCUGCAACUCGACUGCGUGAAGUCGGAAUCGCUAGUAAUCGUGGAUCAGAAUGUCACGGUGAAUACGUUCCCGGGUCUU
rnacentral:rRNA from 1 species